rnacentral:rRNA from 1 species
UCUGAUUAGCUAGUUGGUGUGGUAACGGCACACCAAGGCUACGAUCAGUAACUGGUCUGAGAGGAUGAUCAGUCACACUGGAACUGAGACACGGUCCAGACUCCUACGGGAGGCAGCAGUGAGGGAAUAUUGGGCAAUGCUCGAAAGAGUGACCCAGCAACGCCGCGUGGAGGAUGAAGGUAUUCUAUAUCGUAGACUCCUGUGAGAGCAGACGAAAGACAGAUUAUUAAUCUGGAUGACUGUAUGCUCAGAGGAAGCCCCGGCUAACUACGUG